rnacentral:rRNA from 1 species
AUUGAACGCUGGCGGCAGGCCUAACACAUGCAAGUCGAGCGAGCGGCGGACGGGUGAGUAAUGUAUGGGGACUGCCCGAUAGAGGGGGAUAACUACUGGAAACGGUGGCUAAUACCGCAUACUAUCGGAUAACCCAUAUGGGAUUAGCUAGUAGGUAAGGUAAUGGCUUACCUAGGCGACGAUCCCUAGCUGGUCUGAGAGGAUGAUCAGUCACACUGGGACUGAAACACGGCCCAGACUCCUACGGAGGCAUCAGUGGGGAAUAUUGCACAAUGGGCGCAAGCCUGAUGCAACCAUGCCGCGUGUAUGAAGAAGGCCCGAGGGUUGUAAAGUACUUUCAGUCGGGAGGCGUUACCGACAGAAGAAGCACCGGCUAACGCCGUGCCAGCAGCCGCGGUAAUUC